UACAGAGGUCUCAAGCGUUGUUCGGAUUCAUUGGGCGUAAAGGGUGCGUAGGCGGCGCGGUAAGUCGGGUGUGAAAUCUUGGAGCUUAACUCCGAAACUGCAUUCGAUACUGCCGUGCUUGAGGACUGGAGAGGAGACUGGAAUUUACGGUGUAGCGGUGAAAUGCGUAGAUAUCGUAAGGAAGACCAGUGGCGAAGGCGGUGGUCUGGGCCGGCACUGACGCUGAGGAGCGAAAGCGUGGGGAGCGAACAGG
rnacentral:rRNA from 1 species